CCCUUUUAGCCCCUCUCCGCGCCCUGGCCUUGCCCCGCUCUCUCGGCGACGGCGACCCAUGGCGCCCCGAAGCUCCCGCCCUCCUCCUUUUGGGGCGCCUGGCUUCCUUCGACGACCCCAGCCCCGCUUUCGCUUCCCCCCCCGUGGUGACGGGCUUCCUCCGCUAUCUGACGGGGGUCCCGGACCCCGCCCCCCGCGCCCUUCGUUUGCUGCAGCGCUUAAUGGGGCAGCCGGCGUUGUUGGAGCCGCUGGUGCAAGGAUACGUCCCGUCCCUCAUCCACUCGUGGUUGGUUCUGGGUUUGGAGCCCGACGAGGCCGAGGAGGCGGCGAAACCCGCGGCGGCACGGCGGGAUCGAGAACGGGGUCAACCGGAUCGAGAACGGGAUCAAGCGAAUCGGGAACGGCAGAGCGAGCAUCAACGGGAUCAAGAACGGCGUCAGCCAGAUCAAGAAUGGGGUCAACCAAAUCGGGAACAGCAGAGGAAACGCCAACAGGAUCAGGAAUGGGGUCAACCAGAUCGAGAACGGGGCCAACUGGAUCAAGAACCAGGUCAACCACAUCAAGAACAGCAGAGUAGAUGUCAACGGGAUCAAGAACGGGGUCAACCAGAUCGAGAACGGGGUCGACCAGAUCGAAAGCAGCGUCAACUGGAUCAAGAACAGCAGCAGAAACAUCAAUGGGAUCAAGAACGGGGUCGACAGCGUCAACCAGAACGGGAACGGGGUCAAGUGGAUCAAGAACGGGGUCAAGCGGAUCGAGAACGGGGUCAAGCAAAUCAACAACAGGAAAGGAAACGUCAACUGGAUCAGGAACGGUGUCAAGCUGAUCGAGAACGGGGUCAACUGGAACAAGAAUGGAGUCAACCACAUCGAGAACAGGGGCAGAAACGCCAACGGGAUCAAGAAUGCGGUCAACCAAAUCGAGAACCGUGUCAGUCCAAACGAGCAUGCCGUCAAUUGGAUCUAGAACGGUGUCAACCAGAUCAAGAACGGAGUCAACGCGAUCGAGAACAGCAGCGGAAACGCCAUCGGGAUGGAGAACAGCGUCAACGGGAUCAAGAAUGGGGUCGGCAACGUCAAGCGGGUGAAGAGCGGUGUCAACAAGGCCAGGAACGGUGUCAACCGGAUCGAGAACAGGGGCGGAAACAUCAACGGGAUCGAGAACGGCGUCAAGCAGAUGAAGAACAGCAUCGACGGGAUCAAGAACGGGGUCGGCAGCGUCAACUGGAGCGAGAACGGGGUCAGCAGGAUGGAGAACACAGCCAACAACAUCAACAGGAUCAAGAACGUUGUCAGCAGUGUCAGGUGGAUCGAGAACAUGAUCAACAGGAGCGAGAACAUCAACAAGAUCGAGAACAUUGUCAAUGCUGUCAAUGGGGUGGAGAACAUUGUCAGCUGUGUGAGCUGGAUCGAGAACGCUGUCAAGAACAUUGUCAAGAACAUCACCGGGAUUGGAAAUGUUGUCAGGCGGACCAAGAACGUUGGCAACGGGAUGGAGAACGUUGCCAGCAGUGUCACCAGCAUCGAGAAUGCUGUGGACAGCAUCAAAAGGAUCAAGAACGUUGUCAAUGCUGUCAACUGGGUCAAGAACGUUGUCAGCGGCGUCAAUGCAAUCCAAAGCAAGGUCAACAAUAUCGAGAACGGGGUCGGCAGUGUCACUGGGAUCAAGAACGAUGCCAACCGGAUCGAGAACGAUGCCAACCGGAUCAAGAACAGUGUCAGCAGUGUCAAUUGCAUCAACAACAACGUCACCAGGAUCGGGAACGGCGCCAACCAGAUCGAGAACCGCAUCAGCUGAACCGAGAACGGCAUCAGCAGCGUCAACUGCAUCAAAAACAACGUCACCAGGAUCGGGAACGGCGCCAACCAGAUCGAGAACCACGUCAACCGCAUCAAGAACAGCGUCAGCAGCAUCAAUUGCAUCAAGAAUGUCGCCGGGAUCAAGAACAGCAUCAACCAGAUCGAGAACCACGUCAACCACAUCAAGAACGGGGUCAGCAGCGUCAAUUGUAUCAAGAACAACGUCACCAGGAUCGAGAACGGCACCAACCAGAUCGAGAACCACAUCAACCACAUCGAGAACGGGGUCAGCAGCGUCAACUGCACCAACAGCAAUGUCACCGGGAUCGAGAACAGCGUCAACGGGAUCGAGAACAUCAACCAGAUCGAGAACCGCAUCAAGUGGAUCAAGAACCGUGCCAGCCGGAUGGAGAACAAUGUCAACCGGACCAAGAACGAUGUCAACCAGGUCUAGAACAACAUGAACCAGAUCUAGAGCGGGGCCAGAGAUGUCAACGUGAUCAGGGAUUGGAUGAUCAGGAAGGAGACCGUUGUGAUCGAGAACACGCUAUUUGUGAUCUAGAACAUGCUCUAGAGCACAGCAAUUUGGGUGUAGAACUGGAAGAAGAACUGGUCAAUUGGGAUCAAGAACAGGAUGGAGACUGGGGUGAUCGGGAUCUAGAAUGCGCUCAAGAACGGGAUGAUUGGGAUCUAGCACAGGGUCAAGAACAGCACAACCAGGAUCUGGAACAGGAUCAGGAACUGAAUGACAGGGAUCAAGAACUGGGUUAUCAAGCUCUAGAGGGGGACCAAAAAUGGGACGGCCCAGAUCGAGAACGGGACAAUGGGGAUCAAGAACUGGAUCGAGAACGGGGCAGCCGAGAUCAAGAACGGGAUGAAGAUGGGGAUGGCCGAGAUCUAGAACCGGAUCGAGAACGGGACGAUGGGGAUCGAGAACGGGACAGAGAACGCGGCCAACGGGGUCGUCCCGGAGAAAGGAGAAGGGAACAGCUC
ensembl:lncRNA